AGGAGGGAAAACCUAAACAGUUGGUUAAGACUGGCAGGCCAAGGGGAGAUGCUGAGGUGGCCAUGAGCAGAGAUAGCCUAGAAGAUGGUCAUAAAAUUGCUGAUAAUGCUAAACAAAGUGACGUGGUAUCAAGAUCCGAGAGUUUUGAUGAAAGCCUUAGUAAUACCGGU